rnacentral:rRNA from 1 species
CCUACGGGGUGCAGCAGUGGGGAAUAUUGGACAAUGGGCGAAAGCCUGAUCCAGCCAUGCCGCGUGUGUGAAGAAGGCCUUCGGGUUGUAAAGCACUUUCAGUGGGGAAGAAAGCCUUGGGGCUAAUACCCUCGAGGAAGGACAUCACCCACAGAAGAAGCACCGGCUAACUACGUGCCAGCAGCCGCGGUAAUACGGAGGGUGCGAGCGUUAAUCGGAAUUACUGGGCGUAAAGCGCGCGUAGGCGGUCUGAUAAGCCGGUUGUGAAAGCCCCGGGCUCAACCUGGGAACGGCAUCCGGAACUGUCAGGCUAGAGUGCAGGAGAGGAAGGUAGAAUUCCCGGUGUAGCGGUGAAAUGCGUAGAGAUCGGGAGGAAUACCAGUGGCGAAGGCGGUCUUCUGGACUGACACUGACGCUGAGGUGCGAAAGCGUGGGUAGCAAACAGGAUUAGAUACCCCAGUAGUC